rnacentral:rRNA from 1 species
UUAGUAACGCGUGGGAAUAUACCCUUCACUACGGAAUAGCCUCGGGAAACUGGGAGUAAUACCGUAUACGCCCUUUGGGGGAAAGAUUUAUCGGUGAAGGAUUAGCCCGCGUCUGAUUAGAUAGUUGGUGGGGUAAUGGCCUACCAAGUCUACGAUCAGUAGCUGGUUUGAGAGGAUGAUCAGCAACACUGGGACUGAGACACGGCCCAGACUCCUACGGGAGGCAGCAGUGGGGAAUCUUAGACAAUGGGCGCAAGCCUGAUCUAGCCAUGCCGCGUGAGUGACGAAGGCCUUAGGGUCGUAAAGCUCUUUCGCCAGAGAUGAUAAUGACAGUAUCUGGUAAAGAAACCCCGGCUAACUCCGUGCCAGCAGCCGCGGUAAUACGGAGGGGGUUAGCGUUGUUCGGAAUUACUGGGCGUAAAGCGCACGUAGGCGGAUUGGAAAGUAUGGGGUGAAAUCCCAGGGCUCAACCCUGGAACGGCCUUGUAAACUCCCAGUCUAGAGUUCGAGAGAGGUGAGUGGAAUUCCAAGUGUAGAGGUGAAAUUCGUAGAUAUUUGGAGGAACACCAGUGGCGAAGGCGGCUCACUGGCUCGAUACUGACGCUGAG